CAGAGUAUUGCAUCUUUUCUUUUUUCAGAGUUCUAUGUAUAGUUGGUUACAUUCUAUACCUGGAAAUUUCUCCAAAACUGCUUCCCACGUGCCCUCACCUCCAGUGGCAUCCAUCCAGACACCAGCACUGACACUGGCCGUGCUCACAACUGCCUUAGCCCUGAAGACACAACUGACAAAUAGAAGGGGGCUACGCCCUAAGACAGCAGGUGCUCUUACUUUGUGGGUCCUUAUGUAACUGCGCGGUGUUAUUCAGGAUCGCCCGUUCUACACUUUGUGACGCUGCUGCCGUGUCUCCUAGUUAUUUCUCGUUCCUAGGAGAGAAUUCAGCAGUGCAGCAUCCUCUCCGAG